rnacentral:rRNA from 1 species
GAUGAACGCUGGCGGCGUGCCUAAUACAUGCAAGUCGAGCGAACAGACGAGGAGCUUGCUCCUCUGACGUUAGCGGCGGACGGGUGAGUAACACGUGGAUAACCUACCUAUAAGACUGGGAUAACUUCGGGAAACCGGAGCUAAUACCGGAUAAUAUAUUGAACCGCAUGGUUCAAUAGUGAAAGACGGUUUUGCUGUCACUUAUAGAUGGAUCCGCGCCGCAUUAGCUAGUUGGUAAGGUAACGGCUUACCAAGGCAACGCUGCGUAGCCGACCUGAGAGGGUGAUCGGCCACACUGGAACUGAGACACGGUCCAGACUCCUACGGGAGGCAGCAGUAGGGAAUCUUCCGCAAUGGGCGAAAGCCUGACGGAGCAACGCCGCGUGAGUGAUGAAGGUCUUCGGAUCGUAAAACUCUGUUAUUAGGGAAGAACAAAUGUGGAAGUAACUAUGGACGGCUUGACGGUACCUAAUCAGAAAGCCACGGCUAACUACGUG